rnacentral:rRNA from 1 species
UACGGAGGGUGCGAGCGUUAAUCGGAAUUACUGGGCGUAAAGCGUGCGUAGGCGGAUAUUUAAGUCAGAUGUGAAAGCCCCGGGCUCAACCUGGGAACUGCAUUUGAUACUGGAUAUCUUGAGUGUAGUAGAGGGCGGUAGAAUUCCUAGUGUAGCGGUGAAAUGCGUAGAUAUUAGGAGGAAUACCAGUGGCGAAGGCGGCCCCCUGGACUAACACUGACGCUGAGGUACGAAAGCGUGGGGAGCAAACAGG